UACGUAGGGUGCGAGCGUUUAAUCGGAAUUACUGGGCGUAAAGCGUGCGCAGGCGGUUUUGUAAGCCAGAUGUGAAAUCCCCGGGCUUAACCUGGGAAUGGCAUUUGGGACUGCAAGGCUUGAGUGCGGCAGAGGAGACUGGAAUUCCUGGUGUAGCAGUGAAAUGCGUAGAUAUCAGGAGGAACACCGAUGGCGAAGGCAGGUCUCUGGGCCGAUAUUGACGCUGAGGAGCGAAAGCGUGGGGAGCAAACAGG
rnacentral:rRNA from 1 species